CCUACGGGUGGCAGCAGUGGGGAAUAUUGGACAAUGGGCGAAAGCCUGAUCCAGCCAUGCCGCGUGUGUGAAGAAGGCCUUCGGGUUGUAAAGCACUUUCAGUGGGGAAGAAAGCCUUGGGGCUAAUACCCUCGAGGAAGGACAUCACCCACAGAAGAAGCACCGGCUAACUCCGUGCCAGCAGCCGCGGUAAUACGGAGGGUGCGAGCGUUAAUCGGAAUUACUGGGCGUAAAGCGCGCGUAGGCGGUCUGAUAAGCCGGUUGUGAAAGCCCCGGGCUCAACCUGGGAACGGCAUCCGGAACUGUCAGGCUAGAGUGCGGUAGAGGAAGGUAGAAUUCCCGGUGUAGCGGUGAAAUGCGUAGAGAUCGGGAGGAAUACCAGUGGCGAAGGCGGCCUUCUGGACUGACACUGACGCUGAGGUGCGAAAGCGUGGGUAGCAAACAGGAUUAGAUACCCGAGUAGUC
rnacentral:rRNA from 1 species